AGAGUUUGAUCAUGGCUCAGGACGAACGCUGGCGGCGUGCCUAAUACAUGCAAGUCGAGCGAAUCGAUGGGAGCUUGCUCCCAUUGAUUAGCGGCGGACGGGUGAGUAACACGUGGGUAACCUGCCNGUAAGAUUGGGAUAACUUCGGGAAACCGGAGCUAAUACCGGAUAGUUUCUUUUAUNGCAUGAGAGGAGAUGGAAAGAUGUUUCGGCUAUCACUUACAGAUGGACCCGCGGCGCAUUAGCUAGUUGGUGAGGUAACGGCUCACCAAGGCCACGAUGCGUAGCCGACCUGUGAGGGUGAUCGGCCACACUGGGACUGAGACACGGCCCAGACUCNUACGGGAGGCAGCAGUAGGGAAUCUUCCGCAAUGGACGAAAGUCUGACGGAGCAACGCCGCGUGAGCGAAGAAGGCCUUCGNGUNGUAAAGCUUCUGUUGUUAGGGAAGAANAAGUACNUUGAGUAACUGGGUCCACNNAAGGGGUNU
rnacentral:rRNA from 1 species